rnacentral:rRNA from 1 species
GGAUAGAGGCCUACCAUGGUGGUAACGGGUAACGGGGUGUUAGGGCACGACACCGGAGAGGGAGCCUGAGAAACGGCUACCACAUCCAAGGAUGGCAGCAGGCGCGCAAAUUACCCAAUCCCGACACGGGGAGGUAGUGACAAUAAAUAACAAUACGGGGUUCUUUCGGAUUUCGUAAUUGGAAUGAGUACAAUUUAAAUCUCUUAACGAGGAACAAUUGGAGGGCAAGCCUGGUGCCAGCAGCCGCGGUAAUUCCAGCUCCAAUAGCGUAUAUUAAAGUUGCUGCAGUUAAAAAGCUCGUAGUUGAAUUUCGGGACCAAUAUGUCGGUCGUGCCUCGGUACGUACUGGCAUCGUUGGUUUCUCCCUUCUGACGAACCAUGAUGUCAUUUAUUUGGUGUCGUGGGGAAUCAGGACUGUUACUUUGAAAAAAUUAGAGUGUUUAAAGCAGGCUCACGCUUGAAUACAUUAGCAUGGAAUAAUGAAAUAGGACGUUUGAUUCUAUUUUGUUGGUUUCUAGGAUCGACGUAAUGAUUAAUAGGGAUAGUUGGGGGCAUUAGUAUUCAAUUGUCAGAGGUGAAAUUCUUGGAUUUAUUGAAGACUAACUACUGCGAAAGCAUUUGCCAAGGAUGUUUUCAUUAAUCAAGAACGAAAGUUAGGGGAUCGAAGACGAUCAGAUACCGUCGUAGUCUUAACCAUAAACUAUGCCGACUAGGGAUCGGAUGAUGUUAAUUUUUUAAUGACUCAUUCGGCGCCUUACGGGAAACCAAAG